UUUCUGUUACUAGUCUUACAAUYAGCAGCAUUAGUCUUACAGCAGCUGAUACAGUUACUACCAUUCCAUAUCUCUAGUGUUUUAAACUUUGUGUUCUUGAGCAGACAAGAUUAGGCUUCAAGGCUGCACAUAGAUGUGUAUUUAUCACCCAAGAAUAGUGAAGGAUGUUUUUACCCAGGCCUGCGUGAAAGCACUCAUGCAUUUGGAUGCAUCUGCUUGAGAUUGAGGUCUCAUGUUUUGCACGUCCACUGCAGAAUCAGCAAGCCUUGUACUCUAUCUGUGUAUUUUUACAGUAGGAAAGUCUGGUAAACUUUUUUUUUCUUUUUGUGCUGACCUGCUAGCUCUGGGCCUACAUGGAUAGAAGUGGUGCCUCAAACCUUCCCCUGCCAAACAGUAUCAGUGGCACAAAGGAGAGUCGAUUCCUCGAUGCCAUUCUUCCCACGAGGUGGCAUUGCCACCCACCAGUUCAGUUCCUGCCCAGUUCCUUUCCAAUUAAAUCAGGAGGCUUAAAAAAAGAGAGCAGCAGUGAACCCUUCUUUAUUCCAUCGCUAUUAGAAACUGGGGUGAGCUGGAACGAAAGUCUGCAGCAACAGCAUAUCCAGUGAACUGUGAAGAGCUCUCCUCGAAAGCCGCAGCAGUCAGCGAAUGCCGACUGUAGUUUAGUCUGAGGUACAGCCCAUUCCCCCCAGGUGACAGGUUUUCUGCCAUGUAGAGGUGUGGAGAAGGGGUGGUGGCUCACCAUCUCCCUCCGUUUGGUGUUGCGGCCAGGUUUGGGGAGUGGGAUGAAGCAGACCUGCACUGCCUUCAGGCUUUGUUCCCCCCCUCAGCCCUGUUUGUGCAAACUGUUCAAAGGGGCAGACCUCGCUGUGCUUUUCUCUGAGUGUUGGUACAAGUGAGGGGGAGUCUGGUGUUGCAUCCUUACUGUUGUGACGUGCAGGGUAAGCUGCUAACACCAUCGCUGCUGAAGGGCAUGGCAAGCCGUGUUUGUCAUCCAGUGGGAGAACAGAAAUAAAAUACCGUGAAAAUUUGUAGAGCCA
rnacentral:lncRNA from 1 species